GUGGGUUGCAAAAGAAGUAGAUAGCUUAACCUUCGGGAGGUCGCUUACCACUCUGCGAUUCAUGACUUUGGUGAACUCGUAACAAGGUAACUGUAUGUGAACUUCCGGUUGGAUCACUUCCUUACCUUAAAGAA
rnacentral:rRNA from 1 species